rnacentral:piRNA from 1 species
UCCUAUGAUGCAGGCCUUACUAGGUGCAG